rnacentral:rRNA from 1 species
GGAAUAUUGGGCAAUGGAGGAAACUCUGACCCAGCCAUGCCGCGUGCAGGAUGAAGGCCCUCUGGGUUGUAAACUGCUUUUUACAGGGAACAAAUGCCCCUUGCGAGGGGAGCUGAGGGUACCUGUAGAAUAAGCCACGGCUAACUACGUGCCAGCAGCCGCGGUAAUACGUAGGUGGCAAGCGUUGUCCGGAUUUACUGGGUUUAAAGGGUGCGCAGGUGGCUAGUUAAGUCUGUGUUGAAAGAGCUAG